rnacentral:rRNA from 1 species
AGAACGAACGCUGGCGGCAGGCUUAACACAUGCAAGUCGAACGCGUGUAGCAAUACACGAGUGGCGCACGGGUGAGUAACGCGUGGAUAUCUGCCUUUUGGUUCGGAAUAACCCCGGGAAACUGGGGCUAAAUACCGGAUGGUUCCUACGGGAUAAAGAUUUAUCGCCAAAAGAUGAGUCCGCGUACGAUUAGCUAGUUGGUGAGGUAAUGGCUCACCAAGGCGACGAUCGUUAGCUGGUCUGAGAGGACGAUCAGCCACACUGGGACUGAGACACGGCCCAGACUCCUACGGGAGGCAGCAGUGGGGAAUAUUGGACAAUGGGGGCAACCCUGAUCCAGCCAUGCCGCGUGAGUGAUGAAGGCCUUCGGGUUGUAAAGCUCGUUUUGGCGGGGACGAUGAUGACGGUACCCGCAGAAUAAGCCCCGGCUAACUUCGUGCCAGCAGCCGC